rnacentral:rRNA from 1 species
GACGAACGCUGGCGGCGUGCCUAACACAUGCAAGUCGAGCGGAGACAGGGGAAGAGCAAUCUGAAACUGUUUUAGCGGCGGACGGGUGAGUAACGCGUGAGCAACCUGUCUCUUACAGGGGGAUAACACAGCGAAAGUUGUACUAAUACCGCAUAAGACCACAACGUCACAUGGCGAAGGGGUCAAAGGGGAAAUCCGGUAAGAGGUGGGCUCGCGUCCCAUUAGGUAGUUGGUGAGGUAACGGCUCACCAAGCCAACGAUGGGUAGCCGAUCUGAGAGGAUGAACGGCCACACUGGAACUGAGAGACGGUCCAGACUCCUACGGGAGGCAG